AUACGGAGGAUGCGAGCGUUAUCCGGAUUUAUUGGGUUUAAAGGGUGCGUAGGCGGACGAUUAAGUCAGCUGUGAAAUGCCCGCGCUUAACGCGGGAAGUGCAGUUGAUACUGGUUGUCUGGAGUGCCGUUGCCGUGGGGGGAAUGUGCAGUGUAGCGGUGAAAUGCAUAGAUAUUACACAGAACGCCGAUUGGGAAGACGCCUCGCGAAGCGAUAACUGACGCUGAGGCACGAAAGCGUGGGGAUCGAACAGGAUUAGAUACCCUAGUAGUGCACGCAAUAAACGAUGAUCUCGAGCUUUUUGCGAUACACUGUAAGUGGCACAGCGAAAGCGUUAAGUGAUCCACCGGGGGAGUACGCCGGCAACGGUGAAACUUAAAGGAAUUGACGGGG
rnacentral:rRNA from 1 species